rnacentral:rRNA from 1 species
CCUACGGGAGGCAGCAGUGGGGAAUAUUGCACAAUGGGGGAAACCCUGAUGCAGCGACGCCGCGUUGGAGGAAGAAGGUCUUCGGAUUGUAAACUCCUGUUGUUGAGGAAGAUAAUGACGGUACUCAACAAGGAAGUGACGGCUAACUACGUGCCAGCAG